AAACGGCCAUCAAACUUUCAACUAUUCAACCAGUUCUUAGAAUUUCGGUUCCGUUGCAUUAAGUACAAGCUAACUUUUUUGACCCAAUUUUGUGUCCCUCUAGUGAAAAACUAAAUGUUAGUUUUUGGUUAUAGAUGUUUGUAUUUAUGAAAAUUAAGAGUAUAUAACUAUAAGAAAUAAAUACUAACUAACUAAUUUGGGCCAG